rnacentral:rRNA from 1 species
UACGGAGGGGGCUAGCGUUGUUCGGAAUUACCGGGCGUAAAGCGCACGUAGGCGGCUUUGUAAGCUAGAGGUGAAAGCCCGGGGCUCAACCCCGGAACUGCCUUUAAGACUGCAUCGCUUGAAUCCAGGAGAGGUGAGUGGAAUUCCGAGUGUAGAGGUGAAAUUCGUAGAUAUUCGGAAGAACACCAGUGGCGAAGGCGGCUCACUGGCCUGGUAUUGACGCUGAGGUGCGAAAGCGUGGGGAGCAAACAGG